AUGGAGGGGACAUGCCCUUCUUCACGUCUCGUGCAACAAGUAAGGACUAGCCUCCGGCUUCUGGUGGGCGUCGUGCUCUUCAACCACUUAGAGAUGGACUUUGAUGUGAAGCCCGAUGACCACGCCACAUGGAUGAUCGUCCAUGUGAUCGCGACGCCGGAUGUCGCCGAGGUGGAGGACCUCGAUGCCAUCUUUCGGGGUGAGGGAGGAUUCGGGUCAUCCAGCGUCUGA
rnacentral:rRNA from 1 species